rnacentral:rRNA from 1 species
UAGGGAAUAUUGGACAAUGGGGGCAACCCUGAUCCAGCCAUGCCGCGUGAGUGAAGAAGGCCCUCGGGUUGUAAAGCUCUUUUGUCCGGAAAGAAAAGCUUCGGGUUAAUACCCCGGGGUUCUGACGGUACCGGAAGAAUAAGCACCGGCUAACUUCGUGCCAGCAGCCGCGGUAAUACGAAGUGUUCAAGCGUUACUCGGAAUUACUGGGCGUAAAGCGUGCGUAGGUGGUUGUUUAAGUCUGAUGUGAAAGCCCUGGGCUCAACCUGGGAAUGUCAUUGGAAACUGGGCAGCUAGAGGGCGGUAGAGGGUAGUGGAAUUCCCGGUGUAACAGUGAAAUGCGUAGAGAUCGGGAGGAACAUCUGUGGCGAAGGCGACUGCCUGGACCAGCACUGACACUGAGGCACGAAAGCGUGGGGAGCAAACA